rnacentral:rRNA from 1 species
GACGAACGCUGGCGGCGUGCUUAACACAUGCAAGUCGAACGGAAAGGCCCUGCUUUUGUGGGGUGCUCGAGUGGCGAACGGGUGAGUAACACGUGAGUAACCUGCCCUUGACUUUGGUAUAACUUCAGGAAACUGGGGCUAAUACCGGAUAGGAGCUCCUGCUGCAUGGUGGGGGUUGGAAAGUUUCGGCGGUUGGGGAUGGACUCGCGGCUUAUCAGCUUGUUGGUGGGGUAGUGGCUUACCAAGGCUUUGACGGGUAGCCGGCCUGAGAGGGUGACCGGCCACAUUGGGACUGAGAUACGGCCCAGAGUCCUACGGGAGGCAGCAGUGGGGAAUAUUGCACAAUGGGCGGAAGCCUGAUGCAGAAACGCCGCGUGCGGGAUGACGGCCUUCGGGUUGUAAACCGCUUUCGCCUGUGACGAAGCGUGAGUGACGGUAAUGGGUAAAGAAGCACCGGCUAACUACGUG